AAGUGUCCCCUCUUCUUUCUCCUUAUGCAGAUGUCCUGGCUCUCAACAAAGGCACCAGGCAGGAUUGUUUUUUCUCUUGCAUUCCCAUAAGCCUGACUUCCUGAUGUCCACUACACUCUGUUCUCAAUCUUCUCCAGUCUUUUGCAAACUGUGAUGUUCAGAUGUCCUAUAAGCCUGACUUCCUGAUGUCCACUACACUCCGUUCUCAACCUUCUCCGGUAUUCUGCAAACUGUGAAUGCCUCCUUGUGUUGGAUUCAUGAUGUUCACCAUACUGCACGGCCUACUUUUUUUCUUCGCAAGCUAUGGAAAGAAACUCUGUUCAGCUCAUGAAACGGACUGUUCACAUUUUUUUACUUUUGUGGAGGAAGCAGGGUAUCCUGGUAAUUUUAUUUUGCAGCUACUAUGCUCUCGUCAUAGAUACCUUGCAUCCUACCCAGUGAGUACAUUAUACGAUUUUGAUUUCCAGUAUCUGAUGGACAUUUUGACUCCCAUGUUGAAAUAUGAUUAUUUUAUCAUAUUUUCUCAUUACAACCUACAAUUUGUAUAUAUAGGCCCAACAAAGAGAGAAAUCUGA